CUUGAGUUUGCUGGGUUUUUUUUUCUUGAAUUCUAAUUAUCUACUCACUAUGUAUGUAGAUUAUUUUGUAUGCCAAGACCUCUGGCAGGUUCUGUCAGUUGACUGCAAUCUUUUUUUUUUUUUUUUGUUACUAAUUAAUAAAAAAAAAAAAUAAUGCCUAAAUUGUUUUUGUUCUUCAUUAUUCAUAGGUCUGUUUCUUGAAUC